CCUACGGGGGGCAGCAGUGAGGAAUAUUGGUCAAUGGCCGUAAGGCUGAACCAGCCAAGUCGCGUGAAGGAAGAAGGAUCUAUGGUUUGUAAACUUCUUUUAUAGGGGAAUAAAGGUAUCCACGUGUGGAUAUUUGCAUGUACCCUAUGAAUAAGCAUCGGCUAACUCCGUGCCAGCAGCCGCGGUAAUACGGAGGAUGCGAGCGUUAUCCGGAUUUAUUGGGUUUAAAGGGUGCGUAGGUUGUUUUUUAAGUCAGCGGUGAAAGUUUGUGGCUCAACCAUAAAAUUGCCGUUGAAACUGGAAGACUUGAGUGUGUUUGAGGUAGGCGGAAUGCGUGGUGUAGCGGUGAAAUGCAUAGAUAUCACGCAGAACUCCGAUUGCGAAGGCAGCUUACUAAACUGUGACUGACAUUGAUGCUCGAAAGUGUGGGUAUCAAACAGGAUUAGAUACCCUUGUAGUC
rnacentral:rRNA from 1 species